ACGGACUUAAGGAACUUGAAAGGCAUCUUCAGCUCUCAUUUUCUGGAUUUGAACGUGCAAUUUAUAUUGUUCAGGAUUUCCAGAAUGCGGUUCAUUCCGCGUUGUUACAAGGAGAUUCAUUUGAGCUCUUGAAGGAUGUCUUCAUAGAAUGUCCUGAAGAAUUUCACGGCCACGCACAUGAAGGAUUAUACGACUUGAAGCUAAAAUGGACACAACUAGAACAGUGUUUUUGUCUAACAGUGAUCGUCAAGGUACAGAGUAUGGAUGGCUGCGUUCUUUAAUAUCUGUUCCUGCUGGACUUUUAUCCUUCUUUUUCUGGCGAAGAGGAAGAUAUUAGGCCUGAGGAGAAUUUGAAUCGCCUAGGUUUAUAUAUCUGUGGCGGUUAAGCCAUCAGCUAGUCGAAACUCAGCAUGAAGGUAUUUUACAAUAAUGUUCAGUGGAAAUCAAAAUAUUUAUGUGAUUUUACAAUUCAUAACUAUAUAAAGUGUUGUAAAGUGUUAUUAGCA